AUUGAACGCUGGCGGCAGGCUUAACACAUGCAAGUCGAGCGGAGAUGAGGUGCUUGCACCUUAUCUUAGCGGCGGACGGGUGAGUAAUGCUUAGGAAUCUGCCUAUUAGUGGGGGACAACAUUCCGAAAGGAAUGCUAAUACCGCAUACGCCCUACGGGGGAAAGCAGGGGAUCUUCGGACCUUGCGCUCAUAGAUGAGCCUAAGUAGGAUUAGCUAGUUGGUGGGGUAAAGGCCGACCAAGGCGACGAUCUGUAGCGGGUCUGAGAGGAUGAUCAGAGACACCGGGACUGAGACACGGCCCAGACUCAUACGGGAGGCAGCAGUGGGUAAUAUUGGACAAUGGGCGUAAGCCUGAUCCAGCCAUGCCGCGUGUGUGAAGAAGGCCUUUUGGUUGUAAAGCGCUUUAAGCGAGGAGGAGGCUACCUGGAUUAAUACUCUAGGAUAGUGGACGUUACUCGCAGAAUAAGCACCGGCUAACUCUGUGCCAGCAGCCGCCGUAAAAC
rnacentral:rRNA from 1 species